rnacentral:rRNA from 1 species
GACGAACGCUGGCGGCGUGCUUAACACAUGCAAGUCGAACGGUAAGGCCCUUCGGGGUACACGAGUGGCGAACGGGUGAGUAACACGUGGGUGAUCUGCCCUGCACUUCGGGAUAAGCCUGGGAAACUGGGUCUAAUACCGGAUAGGACCACUGCCUGCAUGGGUGGUGGUGGAAAGCUUUUGCGGUGUGGGAUGUGCCCGCGGCCUAUCAGCUUGUUGGUGGGGUGAUGGCCUACCAAGGCGACGACGGGUAGCCGGCCUGAGAGGGUGACCGGCCACACUGGGACUGAGAUACGGCCCAGACGCCUACGGGGGGCAGCAGUGGGGAAUAUUGCACAAUGGGCGCAAGCCUGAUGCAGCGACGCCGCGUGAGGGAUGACGGCCUUCGGGUUGUAAACCUCUUUCAGCACCGACGAAGCGCAAGUGACGGUAGGUGCAGAAGAAGGACCGGCCAACUACGUGCCAGCCGCCGCCGUAA